AUGCAUGACCUCUUAAGACAGCUUGCUUUAAAUAUAUCAAGAGAAGAAUGUUUUGUUGGAGAUGUUGAAUCAUUAAGGGGUGAAAAUAUGUCAAAACUGCGACGUGUUACUGCUGUUGCAACUAAAAAGGAUAUAUUAGUGUUGCUUAGCAAGGAUAAAGUCAAAGUUAAGGUUCCCAAAGGCAUAGGCAAACUGAAGUUCCUCACCCAUUUAAGAGAUUAUCCUGUUGGUGAUGGAAGUGAUAAUGCUGUUGUACAAGAUGGAUGGAAGUUAGAAGAGUUGUCUUCUUUGUCGCAGAUGAGGUAUCUUUCUCUUGUUAAAUUGGAAAGAGCAGCUCACUGCAGUACAAAUACAGUGCUUAUAGACAAAAAGCAUCUAAAGACUCUAAUACUAGAGUGGACUAAACAUGGAGAGGGGUCAUAUUCUGAAGAAAAUGUUAGCAAUGUUGAGAAGGUGUUUGAGCAGCUAAUACCUCCACCUAACCUGGAAGACCUAUCUAUUGUUAGAUUCUUUGGUCAGCGGUAUCCCACCUGGUUUGGUACCACCUGUUUGUCUUCAUUAUUAUACAUGAAACUCAUAGAAGUACGAUCAUGUGUGGAACUACCACCGUUUGGGCAGCUACCCAACUUGAAAUUUCUGAGAAUUGAUGGAGCACAUGCAGUUACCAAGGUUGGACCUGAAUUUGUUGGCUGCAAGAAGGGUGAUCCUGUAUAUAAUGAGUUGGUUGCUUUCCCUAAGCUUGAAUGCUUGAUCUUCAAGGAUAUGCCCAACUGGGAGGUGUGGUCUUUUUUUGAGGAAGAAGUUGUUGCUGCUGAUGUAAGGGGAGAGGAUGGAGUUGCUGAGAUUCUAAAAGAGGAUACCCAAUCUGCAAGGUUGCAACUGCUGCCCCAUUUGUUGCAAGUGCAACUUUGCGGUUGCCCGAAGCUGAGGGAUCUCCCGCAACAGCUUGGAAAAGACACCGCCUGUCUGAAGGAGCUCAGUUUAAGAGAACUAAACAACUUGAAGGCCAUGGAGGACCGCCCAGUGCUCUCUGAGCUCCUUUUUAUUGGGAAUUGCGAAGGCCUGGAGAGGAUCUGCAACCUCCGUCAAGUAACAAAGCUGCGUGUAUUUGGUUGUCCAAACUUAAGCCAUGUAGAGGGGCUGGACAGUUUGCAGCAGCUGAGGCUAGGCAAGGAUAUGCAAGAGAUAUCUUCAAGAUGGGUGCCUGGGCUUCAAGAGCAGCACCGGCGGCUUCAUGGCGAGGACCUGGAUGUCUACACUGUCUAG
rnacentral:rRNA from 1 species